rnacentral:rRNA from 1 species
CCUACGGGUGGCAGCAGUAGGGAAUCUUCCACAAUGGGCGAAAGCCUGAUGGAGCAACGCCGCGUGGGUGAAGAAGGUCUUCGGAUCGUAAAACCCUGUUGUUAGAGAAGAAAGUGAGUGAGAGUAACUGUUCACGUGUAGACGGUAUCGAACCAGAAAGCCACGGCUAACUACGUGCCAGCAGCCGCGGUAAUACGUAGGUGGCAAGCGUUAUCCGGAUUUAUUGGGCGUAAAGGGGACGCAGGCGGUCUUUUAAGUCUGAUGUGAACGCCUUCGGCUUAACCGGAGUAGUGCCUUUGAUACUGGGAGACUUGAGUGCAGCAGAGGAGAGUGGACCUCCCUGUGUAGCGGU